AAGGAACCUUGAAGACGACGACGUUGAUAGGCCGGGUGUGUAAGCGCAGCGAUGCGUUGAGCUAACCGGUACUAAUGAACCGUGAGGCUUAACCUUACAACGCCGAAG
rnacentral:rRNA from 1 species